AACCUUAUGGACCUGCGGGCGUAUACCUGCGGAGGGAUCAUUACCGAGUGCGGGCCCUCGCGGCCCAACCUCCCACCCUUGUCUCUAUACACCUGUUGCUUUGGCGGGCCCACCGGGGCCACCUGGUCGCCGGGGGACGCACGUCUCCGGGCCCGCGCCCGCCGAAGCGCUCUGUGAACCCUGAUGAAGAUGGGCUGUCUGAGUACUGUGAAAAUUGUCAAAACUUUUAACAAUGGAUCU
rnacentral:misc_RNA from 1 species